AUUGAACGCUGGCGGCAGGCCUAACACAUGCAAGUCGAACGGUAACAGGAAACAGCUUGCUGUUUCGCUGACGAGUGGCGGACGGGUGAGUAAUGUCUGGGAAACUGCCUGAUGGAGGGGGAUAACUACUGGAAACGGUAGCUAAUACCGCAUAACGUCGCAAGACCAAAGAGGGGGACCUUCGGGCCUCUUGCCAUCGGAUGUGCCCAGAUGGGAUUAGCUAGUAGGUGGGGUAACGGCUCACCUAGGCGACGAUCCCUAGCUGGUCUGAGGGGAUGACCAGCCACACUGGAACUGAGACACGGUCCAGACUCCUACGGGAGGCAGCAGUGGGGAAUAUUGCACAAUGGGCGCAAGCCUGAUGCAGCCAUGCCGCGUGUAUGAAGAAGGCCUUCGGGUUGUAAAGUACUUUCAGCGGGGAGGAAGGGAGUAAAGUUAAUACCUUUACUCAUUGACGUUACCCGCAGAAGAAGCACCGGCUAACUCCGUG
rnacentral:rRNA from 1 species